rnacentral:rRNA from 1 species
UACGUAGGGUGCAAGCGUUGUCCGGAAUUAUUGGGCGUAAAGCGCACGUAGGCGGUCCGUUAAGUCGGGAGUGAAAGCCCCAGGCUCAACUUGGGAAGUGCUUUCGAAACUGGCGGACUUGAAUACUGGAGAGGAUCGCGGAAUUCCCGGUGUAGAGGUGAAAUUCGUAGAUAUCGGGAGGAACACCAGCGGCGAAGGCGGCGAUCUGGACAGAUAUUGACGCUGAGGUGCGAAAGCGUGGGGAGCAAACAGG